CACUUAGAUCGCAAAACGGAACGCAAUAGGUGUUAAGGUUGUUCAGUUGUGUAGCUAGUGGGCAGCCGCUAUUUUGUUUAAUGCUACUACUGCGUCAUCUGGUGAACCACGCGUCUCGGCCGUCAGUGAAAACAUUCCCCUGUAGGUAUUAUCUCAAAAUUUCACCGAAAAAGAAGCUACGCGAAACAUGAGAAGAAUUUCUAGAAAAAAAACGUAUAGCUGUGCAAUUAUGAUAUCAUCGACUUGAAACAUUACCCUAAAAGAAAAAUUGAAAAAAAGAAGAAAAAAGAAAAAC